rnacentral:rRNA from 1 species
CCUACGGGAGGCAGCAGUGGGGAAUAUUGCACAAUGGGCGAAAGCCUGAUGCAGCAACGCCGCGUGAGCGAUGAAGGACUUCGGGUCGUAAAGCUCUGUCCUCAAGGAAGAGAAUAACGGUACUUGAGGAGGAAGCCCCGGCUAACUACGUGCCAGCCGUCGGGGUAAUACGUAGGGGGCUAGCGUUAUCCGGAAUUACUGGGCGUAAAGGGUGCGUAGGUGGGUUGUUAAGUCAGAGGGGAAAGGCUACGGCUCAACCGUAGUAAGCCUUUGAAACUGGGGAACUUGAGUGCAGGAGAGGAGAGUGGAAUUCCUAGUGUAGCGGUGAAAUGCGUAGAUAUUAGGAGGAACACCAGUUGCGAAGGCGGCCUGCUGGGCUUUUACUGACGUUGAGGCUCGAAAGUGUGGGGAGCAAACAGGAUUAGAUACCCGAGUAGUC